GUGUGACAGGGUGCUGAGAACUUGAUGACAUCUCCCCUGAGUUCAGAGGCAGGGGAAUACAGGCUGCAAAGAGAACAUCAGACUCAGCAGAGGGGAGAACCGUGAUACCUGAGGCCCCGGUUUCUCCCAGCUCGCUGGAAAGAAACCAGGGUUCUGUCCCAGAAGCUCAAAUGAGAUGGGUCCUGGCAGCAGCACAGGGAGGAUGAGAAGAAGUGUGUGGAGCUUCUUGAAUGGCGAAUACAUUCUGCACAGCUGUCCCAACCAUGGCUCUUGCCAAGUUCCAAGUCGCUGUGGUCCCCAAGGGUGCUGAGGUGGGAACAGAGCACAGCAGCCUCUUUGGAGGUGAAAUCCAGUUUUCUUCUGGAAAACGGCUACUUCUGAUUGCUAGAGAAAUAGAGGAAAGUCUUUAAAAGGCUCCAGCAUUCCCGCCGGCCCCCAAAUUGUCGGCCUCCAACAUUUUGAUGAUUUAAGUGUUGACGGAUUAAAAACAUGUGGUUCGUGUUUCCCCUGAA